rnacentral:rRNA from 1 species
GAUGAACGCUGGCGGCAUGCCUAACACAUGCAAGUCGAACGAGACCUUCGGGUUUAUUUGCUUCCGGGCUGGUAAUGCUUUGAAACAGUCCCUUACGGGUGAGUUACCCGCCCGUAACGGGUCCUAAUACCGGAGAAUAUCUUCGGACCAAAGAUCUAUUGCCUUUUGAUGGGCCCGCGUUGGAUUAGCUAGUUGGUUGGGUAACAGCCUACCAAGGCGACGAUCCAUAGCUGUACUGAGAGGGUGACCUGCCACACUGGGACUGAGACACGGCCCAGACUCCUACGGGAGGCAGCAGUGGGGAAUAUUGGACAAUGGGCGAAAGCCUGAUCCAGCGACGCCGCGUGAGUGAUGAAGGACUUAGGGUUGUAAAGCUCUUUUAGCCGGGAUGAUAAUGACAGUACCGGGAGAAGAAGCACCGGCUAACUACGUG